UCUUAGUUCGUGGAGUGAUCUGUCUGCUUAAUUGCGUUUCACUAAGGGCCCAUAAAUUCAAGGUAUGUUAGCUAUCGUUUCUCAAUUGACCCCUUGUCUUCGAUAAGCGCGUGUCUUUUAGAGUUUAAACAUUGCGCAUGCUGUUGGGUCCUGAAAGCAACGAACGUGACCGCAACGUCUUAUUGCCUUUAUCUUGCUAUAUUUUAAUUUAAUUAAAAAUAGCUAACAGAGGCUAAUUUAAAAUUAGACGGACCGCUGUACUUUUCUUAAACCAGAGGAAGGUUGCGGCAAUAACAGGUCUGUGAUGCCCUUAGAUGUUCCGGGCUGCACACGUGCUACAAUGAUCAGUACAGUGAGCAUCUCAAUAUUAUACACCGUAUUAAGCGCUUAGUUGCGAUUAUUGGCUCAUUAUUGGGUCUUUUAAUUGUAUUUCUAAUGCGCGCGGUAAAGCCUGCUUCGAGAGUAAGUGGGUAAUCCAUUGGAAGUAAUGAUUUCUCUUUUUAUAGCACACCUAUAUACGGCAUUCAUUCCCGGGACGACUAGUUUCGUCUUUUUUGUGCGAAUGUAAUGUAUUCUUUAUCCGUAUGUGCGAUUGUCAAUUCAUG
rnacentral:rRNA from 1 species